GAUGAACGCUGGCGGCGUGCCUAAUACAUGCAAGUCGAGCGAACAGACGAGGAGCUUGCUCCUCUGACGUUAGCGGCGGACGGGUGAGUAACACGUGGAUAACCUACAUAUAAGACUGGGAUAACUUCGGGAAACCGGAGCUAAUACCGGAUAACAUGUUGAACCGCAUGGUUCAACAGUGAAAGACGGUCUUGCUGUCACUUAUAGAUGGAUCCGCGCCGCAUUAGCUAGUUGGUAAGGUAACGGCUUACCAAGGCAACGAUGCGUAGCCGACCUGAGAGGGUGAUCGGCCACACUGGAACUGAGACACGGUCCAGACUCCUACGGGAGGCAGCAGUAGGGAAUCUUCCGCAAUGGGCGAAAGCCUGACGGAGCAACGCCGCGUGAGUGAAGAAGGUCUUCGGAUCGUAAAACUCUGUUAUUAGGGAAGAACAAAUGUGUAAGUAACUAUGCACGUCUUGACGGUACCUAAUCAGAAAGCCACGGCUAACUACGUG
rnacentral:rRNA from 1 species